CAAUAAUACCUUUGAUCAGUCAACACAAAAGGUGUUUAUGCUGGCUCCGCUUUUAGGCAGUGCCUAAAUCUAUAUAUUAUCUUUAUUUACCAAAAAAGAUGUUAAAUUUGAAAGUCACUUGUCGUGGUUAUGUCGUUCGCGGUAUGGCUGUGGGGUUUGUUUAUGUCGUUGCUACUGUGUUUUUGAUGCUCGGGAAAACCCACAGAAGAUGUUAAAUCUUGCGAAAAAGAAGGAAAAACGAGAAAAGAAAAGGAGCAAUGCUCGGAUGCAUCGUCACUUCGACGUGAAGGCCGUGAAACAUCGAGGGCAGCUGAUGUACCGGAAGAUUCGUGGCUUUGUUUACAGCACAGAAAUGAAGUCACACGCCAAGACAAACGUUGCUCUUGUCCUUCGUUCUGGGGACACGGUGGUGGUCUUGCUAAAAGUAAAAUCCCUACAAGGCUUUAUGUGGUUUUUGAUGAUGCAGGACGCAGGAUCUCCGGUUAUAAGCCGGAAACCAACUGAUGCAAUUUAUGCAGGAGGAAGGGAGACGAAAACUUCCGUGACCACGAAUUGUAUCACUCGAGUGACGCAUGACGGAAGGCAAGUUUACGCUUCGUAAAAGAGGUUAUCAACUAUCAAACCAAAACCACAGCACAAUAUACUUUAGGGUUGCACUGAAUAUGUGAAAUAUUGGAGUAAUAAUAUAUGCAAUUCCAUCCACAGAGAGCAGCAUGUGAUGACAGAAAUGUCAACCAGUCCAAAGAGUUCAAUCAGCAAGAUAUUGGAGACUACCCGUUCACCUGUGCAUCGCUUGUGCGACUCAUUGCAAAAUCCCUCCCAAGAUCCCCUAACCUCAUUAAAUAAUAUGCGAAAGCAUAUCAAAACUUUACUGCUUCCGACUAGAGCGCCUGACAAACAACGAAAUAUUGACGAGAAACCCCCUAGACCCCCUCUCCUGAAAUGCCCUGAUGACCCCCGUCGGUGAGGCCAGAAAAAAUGACCGAGGAGAUAUAGUUUUAAAUACCGAACAAUGGGGGCAGAUAAUGACUAGCUUAUAUCAAAAUAAAGAUGAGACACUUGACGAACAAGUAGUGACUCAGUACCACUAUAUGACCCAGCAACCACGAGACUUUGCCGAAAAGAAUGCCCCAGGGCUAUAUUCGACAAUUCUAAACAGCAUGACCAGAUGCAAGCAUUCAGCCCUCCAAGAGCAGCGCACUAUUACUCUGUUACACAUGUUGGCUUACUUUAGGUCUCAUUAGGAUAACCACUGGAUGGUGUUCCUCUUGGGUGAUUUCCACAACAUUUAUACAGUACAAUUACCAGAAAACACCAACCUAUCAGUGGCCACACACAUGGCAUCAUCCAUGCUCGAUAUUCAGCCAAACAUUCGAGCUGUUUCAAUCCCAAGGGACCCACAACAAAUUCACAGGAUUCACAGAGUAAACAUUGAUGGAGAUGAAAAAUUGUGUUGUGGUGGAAUUGUCCUCGAGUAUAUCAACAAUCUAUUGCUAAAGGGGCAAAGGAAGCAACAUAAGUCAUUCUUGGGUUCUCUUCCUGGUCCAUGCCUUAAUCUUAAAGCUCAUUCUAUUCAAGAACAGAUUAAAGAUUUUAGGGUAUAUUCAGGUUUAACUCAAGAUGAACUACACAAACUGGACACAUGUAAGCUGGUUGAUGAGUUUAAGGCAAACCUCAAGAGUAUGGAGGACUACCUAAAGGCAAUCAACCACACAUUUAGCAGCUGCAAUAUGCUUAAUAGCUUUAAAAGCAAACACAUCUUACCAAUGCCAGGGGACUGGCCUACAUGGUUUUAUUCAAAAAAGAUAACUGCCCAAUCACAAGAUGGAACUUACAAUUCAAUAAUACCAGAGCAAGGGGCUUUCCAUGUGGGCUUGAAGAGAGGAUGUAAUCAUCUUUAUUUAUCAUUUUUUCUUCAACAACAUUUACAAGCAAGUAUUUGGCUCAGAACUUCCUCUCGAACCCAAGCCCUUCAGAUCUAACUUUGUUAUUACUGCAACAAUGUGUGCAUGGCUUUUGAUACGAUCUAAAGUAAUGGCCAAAUUUGCCUUGUGCAAAGACUUGGAAUAUGUCUUCAUGCUAAACCAUCUGGAGGAAGUCCUACCUCUUACAUUUUAUCAGUAUGAUUGAAUCUUCCUGUCUGGCAAUCUUAACAGCUAUGUCGACACUAUGACUAGAUUGGCAAUUAUAUUUAUAAUAUGGGAAAGACACCACUAUGACAGGUCGACUCCAUCCAUGCUAAGUGAUCUAGAGCACCACCGCAUUAAUUUUCCACAGUAUUGAGUUCCACACUUCAAAGCUACACUGGUAAAUCAAAACAGGCAAGUUCACAAAAUGUCACGAUAGCAAAUGCCAUAAAAAACUAAAGUAAAUUGUGCCUGAAAAUGCCCCUCCCCUCUUAAGAAUUAGGAGGGAAGGAGGACACUAUGAGGUUUGGUCAAAUUAGGUCAUUUAGACUAAAGAUACAAAAAAAUAUUUCUCCUCCUCUCUCAGCUUUGAUUUGAUGUAACAAGAUCUAAUUGUCCGCCUUUUUUUCUGUAUUUCACAAUAUUUUGUUCCCACUUUGAGAAACAUCUGGAGCAGGGGAGCUCAAAAAGGGUUUUGCCGUUACAGUAGGGCGGUCAUUAUAAAAAACUAUGGUGAAGUUGCUCGGAGAACCAACCACCCAAGGUCAUAAAUCUUGAACAUUCCCUAUUCUUACAGCUUAUCCAUAACUGUUGGAGUUUGUAGGUUAAUCUGCAUACUUAAACACCAUUGUCAACAAACAAGACACCCCUUUAUCUAAUGAGCGUUAAACAUUUUGCCUUAACAGCUACCAAGGCAAGUAACUAAAGCCGGAAAACCGAAAGGGCAAACAGAAUUCCACCUAACCACAUUUAACCCAUUGACUCCUGGCUUUUUUGGAGCUGAAUUUA